UACAGAGGUCUCAAGCGUUGUUCGGAUUCAUUGGGCGUAAAGGGUGCGUAGGCGGCGCGGUAAGUCGGAUGUGAAAUCUCGGAGCUUAACUUCGAAACUGCAUUCGAUACUGCCGUGCUUGAGGACUGGAGAGGAGACUGGAAUUUACGGUGUAGCGGUGAAAUGCGUAGAUAUCGUAAGGAAGACCAGUGGCGAAGGCGGGUCUCUGGGACAGUUCCUGACGCUGAGGCACGAAGGUCAGGGGAGCAAACGGG
rnacentral:rRNA from 1 species